GAUCCUGGCUUAGGAUGAACGCUGGCGGCGUGCCUAACACAUGCAAGUCGAGCGAUUCUCUUCGGAGAAGAGCGGCGGACGGGUGAGUAACGCGUGGGUAACCUGCCUCAUACACAUGGAUAACAUACCGAAAGGUAUGCUAAUACAGGAUAAUAUAAGAGAUUCACAUGGAUUUCUUAUCAAAGCUCCGGCGGUAUGAGAUGGACCCGCGUCUGAUUAGCUAGUUGGUAAGGUAACGGCUUACCAAGGCGACGAUCAGUAGCCGACCUGAGAGGGUGAUCGGCCACAUUGGAACUGAGACACGGUCCAAACUCCUACGGGAGGCAGCAGUGGGGAAUAUUGCACAAUGGGCGGAAGCCUGAUGCCAGCAACGCCGCGUGAGUGAUGAAGGCCUUCGGGUCGUAAAACUCUGUCCUCAAGGAAGAUAAUGACGGUACUUGAGGAGGAAGCCCCGGCUAACUACGUGCCAGCCGCAGC
rnacentral:rRNA from 1 species